GACAGUUUGGUCGUAGAAAGAAAAAGUUCAGAAAAAACAGUUCUGAUGCCGUAACUCCACAGAACAAUAAGGUGGAAUCAAAGGAGGAAGCAGAUGAAGAAGAGGAGGAAGAAGAAGAGGAGGACGGAGAUAUUUCAAACUACAAGAUUGAUUCAGAGGAGGAAGAAGAGGAGGAAGGGGAUUUAAGUAAAUAUGACUUGAACGAAAGUGAAGAAGAGGAUGACAAGAGAUCAAAUUCGUCUUCUAGUUCUUCUUCAAGAUCUAGCUCCUCCUCCUCAAGAUCUAGCUCCUCCUCCCGCUCUAGUUCGUCCUCAAGGAACCGAAGGAAGAGAAGCAAUAGGUCUAGGUCCAGGUAACUUGGUGGAAAGGGUAAAGGGUAGAGGUCAAAAGAUCUAAGUCUCCAAAAUCAAAGAAGCUCAAAGAACGGUCAAGGUCGCCAAGAGACAGGACGACAGGAUCCGGGAGGUCGAGGUCACGUUCUUCCGAGGACCGUCGACGUGACACCAGUAGAUCCAGGUCCUCCUCUCAUUCAGCUGGCAGCACCAGGGACGGAUCAAGGCGGUCGAGGAACUGAACCUGCGGAGAUGACGACAUCUACCAACAGUAUCCCCUGAUUGACUCGCUGCUGCUGCUGCUGAGGACCUUGUAUAGAAAGCUUAAAGAUUAACCAGACCACUCUCAUCUGCAGUCAACUGCCUCCCUAAUUGGAUUGAAAAUUUAGUAGAAAAUUGAAAUUAGAUCAAUUGUUACAUUAAUUUUCAUCAUUGUUUAUAAAGAUAAAAUAUUGAUUUUUUUUUCUAAAUGGAUCAUGGAAGGAAUACAUUCAAAAGCAAUAAUCUGCACAUUCAGAAAAAGCAUUUUGGUAUAGGUAAUAUUUUAAUAUAUAGUUGACUAUUGUUGGCAGACACCUUGGUUUCUAUGUAUGGUGGGAUUCCGUCUGUAUAGGCUCAAAAUGUCUGCGUACUUUGGAAUUUAUCAGACUGGCCACUGGGUUUCUACUGUUUUUUGCACACAGUGGAUCCUCUAAGUCUUGACAGUUUGCCUUCUUUGUAUGGUUUCUAUGUAGUAUAGCCUAGUUUAAUCCAGACAUUAUUGUUUCUGUGUACAAGUGGAUCCUUCUUAGUCAAGCCAUUGCCAUCCUCGUCACUCCAGGGGUUACACUCACUUUCGCUCUCUGAACCCCUGGAA